AUUGAACGCUGGCGGCAGGCUUAACACCUGCCAGUCGAGCGAGCGGCGGACGGGUGAGUAAUGUCUGGGAAACUGCCUGAUGGAGGGGGAUCACUACUGGAAACGGUAGCUAAUACCGCAUACCAUCAGAUGUGCCCAUAUGGGAUUAGCUAGUAGGUGGGGUAAUGGCUCACCUAGGCGACGAUCCCUAGCUGGUCUGCGAGGAUGACCAGCCACACUGGAACUGAGACAGGGUCCAGACUCCUACGGGAGGCAGCAGUGGGGAAUAUUGCACAAUGGGCGCAAGCCUGAUGCAGCCAUGCCGCGUGUGUGAAGAAGUCCUUCGGGUUGUAAAGCACUUUCAGCGGGGAGGCGGUACUCGCAGAAGAAGCACCGGCUAACUCCGUGCCAGCCGCCGCGGUAAUUC
rnacentral:rRNA from 1 species